AGUGAACGCUGGCGGUAGGCCUAACACAUGCAAGUCGAACGGCAGCACAGGUGAGCUUGCUCUCUGGGUGGCGAGUGGCGGACGGGUGAGGAAUACAUCGGAAUCUACUUUUUCGUGGGGGAUAACGUAGGGAAACUUACGCUAAUACCGCAUACGACCUACGGGUGAAAGCAGGGGAUCUUCGGACCUUGCGCGAUUGAAUGAGCCGAUGUCGGAUUAGCUAGUUGGCGGGGUAAAGGCCCACCAAGGCGACUAUCCGUAGCUGGUCUGAGAGGAUGAUCGGCGACCCUGGAACGGAGUAACGUUCCCGACUCGUACUGGCGGCAGCAGUGGGGAAUAUUGGCCAAUGGGCGCAAGCCUGAUCCAGCCAAACCGCGUGGGUGAAGAAGGCCUUCGGGUUGUAAAGCCCUUUUGUUGGGAAAGAAAUCCAGCUGGCUAAUACCCGGUUGGGAUGACGGUACCCAAAGAAUAAGCACCGGCUAACUUCGUGCCAGCCGCCGCCGUAAUAC
rnacentral:rRNA from 1 species